GCCUUCUUUUUCUAAAAGCUCACAGAUUCAUUAGUUUAUUACCAAAAUUUAAUGAAAUGUAUGAAGCAUGAAC